rnacentral:rRNA from 1 species
GGCAAGUCUGGUGCCAGCAGCCGCGGUAAUUCCAGCUCCGAUAGCGUAUAUUAAAGUUGUUGCAGUUAAAAAGCUCGUAGUUGAAUUUCGGGAUCAAGGAAUCGGUCAUGCUUACUUAAAUGAGGGGUUUUAUUGGUUCUCACCUUCUAAAGAACCAUAAUGUCAUUCAUUUGAUGUUAUGGGGAAUUAGGCCCUCCUUAAAAAAUUAGAGUGUUUAAAGCAGGC